UACGGGGGGGGCAAGCGUUGUUCGGAAUUACUGGGCGUAAAGCGUGCGCAGGCGGUUAUGUAAGACAGGUGUGAAAUCCCAGGGCUUAACCUUGGAACUGCAUUUGUGACUGCAUCGCUGGAGUGCGGCAGAGGGGGAUGGAAUUCCGCGUGUAGCAGUGAAAUGCGUAGAUAUGCGGAGGAACACCGAUGGCGAAGGCAAUCCCCUGGGCCUGCACUGACGCUCAUGCACGAAAGCGUGGGGAGCAAACAGG
rnacentral:rRNA from 1 species